AUUUACUUAAUAUAUAAAAGUAUAUUUAACUUCCAAUUAAAAGGACUGUCAAACAGAGUAAAUA
rnacentral:tRNA from 1 species